AUGGUGCUGGAUAUUGGCGUUGAGCUGGAGCUGCUUGGCUGCACAGAGGUUGCACUGGUGGUUGGCACUGAGCUGGAGCUGCUUGGCUGGACAGAGACGGUGCUGGAUAUUGGAGGUGAGCUUGAGCUGCUUGGCUGCACAGAGGUUGCACUGGUGGUUGGAGCAGAGCUGGAGCUGCUUGGCUGGACAGAGAUGGUGCUGGAUAUUGGAGGUGAGCUGGAGCUGCUUGGCUGCACAGAGGUUGCACUGGUGGUUGGAGCAGAGCUGGAGCUGCUUGGCUGGACAGAGGUGGUGCUGGGUAUUGGCGUUGAGCUGGAGCUGCUUGGCUGCACAGAGGUUGCACUGGUGGUUGGAGCUGAGCUGGAGCUGCUUGGCUGCACAGAGGUGGUGCUGGUGGUGGGCACUGAGCUGGAGCUGCUUGUCUGCACAGAGAUGGUGCUGGAUAUUGGCGUUGAGCUGGAGCUGCUUGGCUGCACAGAGGUUGCACUGGUGGUUGGCGCCGAGCUGGAGCUGCUUGGCUGGACAGAGGUGGUGCUGGAUAUUGGAGGUGAGCUGGAGCUGCUGGACUGCACAGAGGUUGCACUGGUGGUUGGAGCUGAGCUGGAGCUGCUUGGCUGCACCGAGGUGGUGCUGGGUAUUGGAGUUGAGCUGGAGCUGCUUGUGUGCACAGAGGUUGCACUGGUGGUUGGAGCAGAGCCUGAGCUGCUUGGCUGCACAGAGGUGGUGCUGGUGCUGGGCACUGAGCUGGAGCUGCUUGUCUGCACAGAGAUGGUGCUGGAUAUUGGAGGUGAGCUGGAGCUGCUGGACUGCACAGAGGUUGCACUGGUGGUUGGAGCAGAGCCUGAGCUGCUUGGCUGCACAGAGGUGGUACUGGUGGUUGGUGAUGAGCUGGAGCUGCUUGGCUGGACAGAGAUGGUGCUGGAUAUUGGAGGUGAGCUGGAGCUGCUUGGCUGCACAGAGGUUGCACUGGUGGUUGGAGCAGAGCUGGAGCUGCUUGGCUGCACAGAGGUUGCACUGGUGGUGGGCACUGAGCUGGAGCUGCUUGGCUGGACAGAGAUGGUGCUGGAUAUUGGAGGUGAGCUGGAGCUGCUUGUCUGCACAGAGCUUGCCCUGGUGGUUGAUACAGAGCCUGAGCUGCUUG
rnacentral:lncRNA from 1 species